UGAAUUUCUUUCGCCCAAACCUAUCCCCAAAUUUUAAAACUUGCUUUACACCAAAUUUAUUUUCCCUCCUAAUUUUGUAGUGCCUCCAGGUUUCUACAAAAAAUAACAAUAUCAUAUUAAAACAAAACCUUUUCUAACCCAUUACAAGCUUUUCAUCACACAUCGAUGGAGAAGACGACGAUCGUUGAUGGAAACUAUUUAGAGGUCAAAUACACAGAUGAUUUAGAGAUCUAUGAUGGAUGUAAACGACAAGUCGAUUCAGAAAUCGUAAGUGCGUCUUUUUUCUAGGUUAUCUCGGAUUGCUUUCUAAUCAAGUAUGGUAUGUCAAUUUCUGGGUUUUGACUACUUGUUAUGUUUAGAUCGGUUGGUGUCACUAUCAAUAAUGUUUACAUUAAGGCCAUUUUUUCAACUCUCUACUGGUACCUUGCAGUUAGGAGGGCAAAAAGCUUAAUUUUUAAUGGAGUUAGGAAUUUAGAUUGAUUAUUUGAUUGAGUUACAUAUUAUUCACAUCACUUUUGCAACUAACUUUCUAUUAUUUGGGCAAAAUGGAUUCUUUAAUGACAUAAGCUUAGUGCAUGCCAGGUGUUUGAUGUUUUGCCAAAUGAAAACUUGGAUUAUUUUUGGGUGAAACAUGAUCCAUUUGUAAGAGAUUAAGAGUAUAACUGAUGACUCAACAUGAUCAUACCAAUUUGGCGUAUAAUAUUCACCACUAGUUAUAUAAUUUGGAACAGUUAGGCUUCUUACUAGAAUUAUGUGGAUUUAAUUAUCUUUUUUUUUUUGUCAACUGUUACUGUGUAACAUAGAUUCCAUUUAGUUAAGAGCUGAAUUAUAAGCUAUUUUUUUUAAUCCAAUGCCACACAUUUAGUUUCUAAACUUCCAGUUUACUUUCUAUCAAACAUUUGGUGAAGCAUUCUCCAUGUCGUAUAUGCUUCUACUAAGGAUGUUGUUACAGAGGCAACCGGGAAGGGAUGCCAACAUGGGGACGUACACACUUAUUCUCGGAUGUGAUUGGUCUUAUGAAAUGCUUGUUUUUGGAAUUAAAAGCAAAGAGAAAGAAGAGCGAGGCUGUAGAGACUCAGACAACGUUGGGGAAAGCCCUGGUGCGUUCGAUAGUUUGUGCAACGAACUACCAGAAAUCUUGUUUAUUCAAAGAUGUGAACUUCUAUGUCCUGAUGGCCAAGGUGCUCCGACCGUUAGGGGUACAAGCCGUGUUUACCCUACUACUGAGUGGCUUAUGCAUAAUUGUCUGAUGAUAGACGGUUUUGUCAAAGUUUAAGUAGAUAGAGUUGAAGAAGGUUGCAGAUUGAACCAUCUCUUGCCUGAGUCAUGUAUUUCUGGCGAAGUAGACUGUUUGGAAGAUGCAAAAGGAUGCUUUAUUUACUGGUCUGUUAAAUCAAUAAAGAGUUUACACAUAGAUUCUCCUCAAACUGUAGAACCAUCUCACCAUUCUAUGAGUACACUUUAUAAACCGCAAGUCGUUUUAAUAUAUAUCAUUACUUUUAUACAAGAUAAUCUGUUUUUCUAAUGUAGUUUGAGACAACAUCUGCUCACCAACAACAACCAAUUCCAGAUGAAAGAAUCGAGUAUAAAAUUUACUCGUAUGCAUUACAAGAGGAGGAGGCUUUUAAUCGAUUGGUAAACACAUUAUUUGUAUAUAAUUGUGUGUGUAUUUACUAAUAGUACCGUACUCUCGUUAUUGGUUAAUGUAGCUCGCUGACAAACAAUUUUCUAAGAAUACAACCAAGCAUGUCCCUUUCAGUAACUUACUGAGCCGGUUAAUGGUUUGUUUAACUACAGUGUAUACUAAACUGUAAUCUAUUUUUUAUCUAUCUUUAUAUUUUAGCUGGGAAAUAAAACCUUAAUGGUUCGUCAAAGUAAAAUUUGAGUUUGUAGAGUGUACGAUAAAGGCGUUUAUUUCAGUUUUGGGGACAGGGAGGACGACAAGGAUGAAUGGAGUGGCAAAGGAAUUCAAGCUAGUGAGUGCUGUUGAGAGCUUUGUGGUUGUGGAUAAAGGAGGCUGCACAAAGUCAAGGAGUUUUUUGGAUGGUUGUUUUUAUUUGUGCUAAACUGAAUGAUAGGAUGUUUUUUCUAUGUUAAAUUGAAUGUUUUAGACUAAUGAGUCAACAUGGAUGCUUUAGCUAUUUUAGAUAUUUAUAAAAUGGUUCAUUGUUUGUUA